GGUGGACUCCUCUGCGGCAGAUCUCCUGUAAGAUGUGCUGGUAAGUGACGCUGCCCGGGGCCCAGCUCCUCGCUCCCAGAACCGGGCGCGCUGGUCACUGUUACUUCAUGGGGGAAAUUCUUACUGAAUCAACUAGUGACUUGGCCUACGGCUCCCAGGGGUUUUCUGAACUGUAAAAUACAUACCGAGAAUAAUAUUCAAGAAAAGGGGAUUUUGUGUAUAGAUGUGAUCAGCGUCUUUGUAAAAGGAAGGAAGUUAGUCCACUGCUACCGCCACAAUUCCGCCUCUGUCUGCCGGUGCCAAAUUGAAACGCAGACACAGAGUUUGGGGUAAAGGAGGGGAAAAAAAAUAGUUUAAUUGCUUUGCCAGGCAAAGGAGGAUCACAGCAGGUUAAUGCCUUAAAGACUGUCCCUUCCCCCCCACCCCAGUUAGAAAGAAUUGGAAGGAGUUUUAUAGCAAAAAGGAGAAAAACAGGUUUUCAGAUAGGAAUCAGUAUUGGGACAAACAUGCAUUCAUCUUUCUUUGGGUCAGUCUUGGUCAUCAAAGCUGGAGUCGGGAGAUUUUCACAGUGGUGGUUUUCUGGGUUAUUGCCUAGAAUAACAGUACUUGCGAAAGGGCCGUAUUGAUCAGAGAUCAGAACAAGCUUGGAAAGUUCCUGAAAAAACAUCCCAUGCUAAUAAUCUUUAACCCACAGGCCAUUGUGCUCAGGAUGCCUAAUCUUUAGCUUACAGGUGAUUGUGUUUAGGGUGUAACUAAGUCAGGAAGAAGAAUAAGCUGUUAAAUUUCAAAGUAUUCAUUUCAAAAAGAAGCGUAAGGAAUAUGAUUUUUCUCUGAGAGGUAUGAUAAGACUGCCUCUCCCAAGGCUGCUUGUCUUCCUCCCUCAAACAGAAAGGAUUGCUGUGUCCUUCUUACUAUCAAGAGUUGUCGGAGUUCCCGUCGUGGCGCAGUGGUUAACGAAUCCGACUAGGAACCAUGAGGUUGCGGGUUCGGUCCCUGCCCUUGCUCAGGGGGUUAACGAUCCGGCGUUGCUGGGAGCUGUGGUGUAGGUUGCAGACGCGGCUCGGAUCCCGCGUUGCUGUGGCUCUGGCGUAGGCCGGUGGCUACAGCUCCCAUUGGACCCCUAGCCUGGGAACCUCCAUAUGCCGCAGGAGCGGCCCAAGAAAUAGCAACAACAACAACAACAAAAAGACAAAAGACAAAAAAAAAAAGAGUUGUCUCUGUCCAGGGGCUUCAGGAGGAAACCCAAGUAGGCCUAAUCCAACCCCAUGAUCUCUCCUCUCAGCUUCUGGUCCCGGCUGGUGCUCAGUACAGCUGAAUGCCCAGGGCUUUAGGGGCUUGAAGGAACGUGGGCUGCAAGCCUCCAGCGUGCUUGGGUCUGCGGUGACCCUGUGCAUUCCUACAGUGCUUGCAAGAAAAUUUUGAGAUGGUUUGAGGCCUUGCCCUGCUUCAUCCAGAGCAAGGUUAUAGAAAUUUCAGACACUGUUUUGCUCCCUUCCCUAUCUGGUGUGCUGGGCACUGUGCAGGUCUGUACCAUCUGAGGCGGUGACCACUUGACACAUUCGGUUAAAUUUAAGAUUCCGUCUUUCGUUCACACUAGCCACGGUUUAGAUGGAUGCUCAUUAGCCACACUUGGCAAGUGGCUGCUCUGUUGCACCGUGCACAUUAGAGAGCGUUAAUGUCUUUGAAGAAAUUGUUUUGGACUUUGGGUGUUUACCGUGCUCCAGGCUUGUAAAUUUUAUUAUAUCCUUCAAACGAAAGCCUUAGAAAAGUUGAAAAUGGGAGUUCCCUUGAUGGCUUAGUGGUUAAUGAACCCGACUAGUAUCCAAGAGGAUGCAGCUUCAAUCCCUGGCCUUGCUCAGAGGAUUAAGGAUCCUGCGUUGCCGUCAGCUGUGUAAGUUGCAGGCAAAGCUUGGAUCUGGCGGGGCUGUGGUGUAGGCCGGCAGCUGCAGCUCCGUUUGGACCCCUAGCCUGGGAACCUCCGUAUGCCUCGGGCAUGGCCCUAGAAAGAUGUAAAGGAAAAGAAAAUGAAGCUUGAGGGAGUGGUAAAGAUGGAGUUAGACCAGCUAGUAGGAAAUAGAGUGGAAAGGAAUAAUAGGGAUGGGCCAUGCCCUGGGGGAUAUUUACCAUUGGCAGGGAAACCAAAGAGAAGGAAGGGCCAGCCAGGUUCUAUAGCAGGGCCGAGUGUCCCCGGAGCUUACUGGGGGGCGGGGGUCGUUGCACAUUGAUCUUAAAGGAAGAUCUAAUAUAGCAGGGCCGAGUGUCCCCGGAGCUUACGGGGGGGGGGGGGGGUCGCAUUGAUCUUAAAGGAAGAUCUAGUGGGAGAGAAGGGCACUUGUGUUGAUUGAACUCUUGUCUUGCAGACUUAAUUCUUAACCCGCCAGAAGUCUUCGAGGACCACCGUUAGGCCAUCUUAGGUCCAGUACAGGUGGGGGGCCACGGUCAGGAUUAAGUGUCCAGGGUUGCCUGGCCAGACACUGGAAGGUCAGGAUUGGAUGCCAGGCCUCUCCAACCCUACUGGCUCCACUCCUUUCCCGGAUGCCAGAUUGGAAGGGAGGGGUGGAAUCUAGAGGCAAUGGCUGGUUUGAGUCGGAGGGCAAUGCCAGGAUGGAGUAGGCAGCACAGCUCCUGAGCUCCUGGACGGUGGGGUCACACCACCACCCCUUCUCUCUUGAAGGUUAAGGCUUCUGGCAGAUUCGGGUCAGUCCCAAGUGCGACCGGUCUUCUGGGGCUGCCGUCCGCAGACCCUUCUCGCAUCCACGUACCUGGCGGCCUCCCUCAUCGCGUGCUGUUGGUAGGGGGGCGAGUCAGGCCCUGUACACGUCCUGACAGGCACCCGGCCCACCCCCAGCCAACUGUGCGCUGUGUUCCUGCCCCAGCACGAGACCUGUGGGGUGUCCGCGGCAGAAGAUGUCAGAGCUGGAAGAGACCUGAGAGGCGAUCCCUUGGUGGGUGAUGGGUUCUUCCGGGAAUCUGGUGGUGAUGGAGUCCCAGAAAGCGUAACUGUCUGCCAGCUCACGAGGCCGUUUUGUGCAGAUAGUUUGAUUACCUCUGUGGUUGGGAUUCAACUUGUCGCCUUUUCCCCGGGAAUCUCCAGAUGAGCGGUGUGUCAGCCUGGAAAAGGUGGGCUCCUGCCGCAUCCCUGUGGCAGAGGCCUCUUAGCUCUCUGCAGUCAGGAGUGGGAGCCCAGGUUCACGCCCAUUUAUUGCCGCUUGCUCUCAAUUGGCAUUUGUUACAAUCUCUUGUUUAUGCUCUUACAUCACUUAAUUGUAACAGCAGGCCUCGGAGUUGUUUCCAGUUUCCUGGUUUUUAGAGACAAGGAAGUGGGAGCCGAGGGUGUGACCUGCUGCACUGACACCCCAGGCCUUUGGGCCUCUUCUCUAGGCAGGAUCAAAUCCUUGCUCUCUUUCCAGGAGGCUGGGAGUUCUGGUUCUCGGCCCAGGCUGGGGGGGAAGGCCUCCAGGCCACGUGUGCAUGUCUGACCAACAUUCUCUGACGCCAGGUUUGCGCGCCUUGUUGUCUGCUUCCAGAACAAGGAUCUUCGCUGUACGCCAAGACCCAGACCCCUCUGACAUCGGAAUGACAAGUGGGAUAUUUAAUAAAACAGUUUCAAAUUUG
rnacentral:lncRNA from 1 species